GUCUCUUAUCCAGCCCAACCCAUGUUGGCUUUACGGUUAAUCUAGGUCAUUCUCUGUCUCAUUCUCCCCUAUUCUAAUCGAUCCUAUAGGCUCCCACGUCGGCCGCCGGCCGCCGGCCGCCGCCCCUCGAUCGAUCUACACCCCGGAGCGUCGCCGCACACCCUCCCCUAUUAUCCACUGUCCUGGAACGCCGCCCCACACCAGAUCCGUGCGACCCUCCAUCCCGGCGCGCCGCCCCUCGGCAACACUCCCCUGCAACCCUGCUUCUGUGGUGCGCCGUUCCUCGUCACUGCUCCCCUGCGGCCAACUGCGUCUGCUACCUCUACACGGGGUCCUGCGGCUAUGGGGAGAGUUGCCGCUACAACCACCCUCGCGGUCAAGCUGUCGUGUGCAGGUAUGUGGCAUGCAAGCAGAGCAAAUGAUGAACUUAACAAUUACCAAAUCUACCUCAUUUGAUCUGAUAAGAUUCAAAAGAUAAAUGGAUGAUUAUAUGGGUGCAUGGAAACUAUACAACAAUGAUGAAGACGAUGUUCCUGUUCAUGAUGAUGAUGAUGAUGAUGAUGAUGGAGGCUUUUAGUUUUAAUUAAGUUGUAGGGAUGGAGUUCUUGCUAGAUGAUGUUCCUCGUUAAGUUUUAGAUAAGUUGUACAAAUGUUGAUGGAUGCUUCGAGUUUAAGUUUUGUUGUGAAGAAAAUAUUUAGAUUGCACAUCACAUUUGGAUGAUGUUCCUCAUGUAAUAUCAUUACUCUAAUCCAACAAUUUUAUCUAAUAUAUGAUUUCUUCCUCUCUUGAGUA